rnacentral:rRNA from 1 species
AUUGAACGCUGGCGGCAGGCCUAACACAUGCAAGUCGAACGAGUGGCGGACGGGUGAGUAAUGUCUGGGAAACUGCCUGAUGGAGGGGGAUAACUACUGGAAACGGUAGCUAAUACCGCAUACCAUCAGAUGUUCCCCGAUGGGAUUAGCUAGUUGGUGGGGUAACGGCUCACCAAGGCGACGAUCCCUAGCUGGUCUGAGAGGAUGACCAGGCACAAUGGAAAGGAGACACGGUCCAGAAUCCUACGGGAGGCAGCAGUGGGGAAGAUUGCAAAAUGGGCGCAAGCCUGAUGCAGCCAUGCCGCGUGUAUGAAGAAGGCCUUCGGGUUGUAAAGUACUGUCAGCGGGGAGGCGUUACCCGCAGAAGAAGCACCGGCUAACUCCGUGCCAGCAGCCGCGGUAAUUC